ACGAACGCUGGCGGCGUGCUUAACACAUGCAAGUCGAACGAUGAACCACUUCGGUGGGGAUUAGUGGCGAACGGGUGAGUAACACGUGGGCAAUCUGCCCUGCACUCUGGGACAAGCCCUGGAAACGGGGUCUAAUACCGGAUAUUGACCACCGCAGGCAUCUGUGGUGGUGGAAAGCUCCGGCGGUGCAGGAUGAGCCCGCGGCCUAUCAGCUAGUUGGUGAGGUAAUGGCUCACCAAGGCGACGACGGGUAGCCGGCCUGAGAGGGCGACCGGCCACACUGGGACUGAGACACGGCCCAGACUCCUACGGGAGGCAGCAGUGGGGAAUAUUGCACAAUGGGCGAAAGCCUGAUGCAGCGACGCCGCGUGAGGGAUGACGGCCUUCGGGUUGUAAACCUCUUUCAGCAGGGAAGAAGCGAAAGUGACGGUACCUGCAGAAGAAGCGCCGGCUAACUACGUGCCAGCAGCCGCGGUAAUACGUAGGGCGCGAGCGUUGUCCGGAAUUAUUGGGCGUAAAGAGCUCGUAGGCGGCUUGUCACGUCGGUUGUGAAAGCCCGGGGCUUAACCCCGGGUCUGCAGUCGAUACGGGCAGGCUAGAGUUCGGUAGGGGAGAUCGGAAUUCCUGGUGUAGCGGUGAAAUGCGCAGAUAUCAGGAGGAACACCGGUGGCGAAGGCGGAUCUCUGGGCCGAUACUGACGCUGAGGAGCGAAAGCGUGGGGAGCGAACAGGAUUAGAUACCCUGGUAGUCCACGCCGUAAACGGUGGGCA
rnacentral:rRNA from 1 species